UACGGAGGGUGCAAGCGUUAUCCGGAUUCACUGGGUUUAAAGGGUGUGUAGGCGGGCUAUUAAGUCAGUGGUGAAAUCUCCGGGCUCAACCCGGAAACUGCCAUUGAUACUAUUAGUCUUGAAUAUCGUUGAGGUUGGCGGAAUAUAUCAUGUAGCGGUGAAAUACUUAGAUAUGUCAUAGAACACCGAUUGCGAAGGCAGCUAACGAAACUGUAACUGACGCUGAGGCUCGAAAGUGCGGGGAUCAAACAGG
rnacentral:rRNA from 1 species